UUUACCCGAAGGUGGUGCGCUAACCCGCAAGGGAGGCAGCCAACCACGGUAGGGUCAGCGACUGGGGUGAAGUCGUAACAAGGUAGCCGUAGGUGAACCUGCAGAAGGAUCA
rnacentral:rRNA from 1 species